CUGCACUGCACUGCACUUUCUAAGCUUCCAUUCUCACCUAAAACAUUCAAAAAACCGAUUUAAAAAUGAGUAAAGGCGAGUCAUCCCCACUAAAUCACCCAAAAAACGAAGAAAGUCUAUCACUCAGCAUAAGAGGCAUGGAAUCCCAAAACUACAAGUACUCUCUCGUGGUUUCUACCGAGGGAUCAAACGAACACAUGGUCCCUCACGAUCAAGAAGUCAUUCGUUGUUGUUGUUCCAAACUCUCAAGGAAAUCAACGCAUUUCUCCACUCCUAGGAGCUUUAAACUCAGAAAUAUACCCAGCCUUCCUCCUGGUUUCAUCUCAUUCCACUUGAUUUUUAGGCAAAAUAAUGAUCCCUUUGGUCUCCCUUCAGCACAAGGGUUUUGCAGCUGCCCACAAAGAGAAUUGAUUGAAGCCUCACAAGUACAGUGUUUAAUAUCAGAGGCUUCUAUGAUGAAUGAUGCAGGUAGUGUAAUAGGGGAGUACAAAUGGUGAAAAGUGAGGAAGAUGGCUCUAAUCAUUUGGAUUAGCAAGAUUUUUAAAUGCGUAAUGCUUGAAAUUUGGGUGUUGAAGUAAAUAUACAAGCGGGUAUAUGCGGGAUGCGGAAAUCUAAGAUCUCAUAAAAUUUUAGAUAUUUGAAACAUUAUAAACUUCAUUUUUUGAUGUUGUUACUUGGGUGACAUUGUUCUUUAUUGUAUGAGUAUAAACUUUUACACAUUUGAAACAAUUAUUUGGGUGACAUUGUUUCAUUA